rnacentral:rRNA from 1 species
GGUGAGUAACACGUGGGCAACCUGCCUGUAAGAUCGGGAUAACUCGCGGAAACGUGAGCUAAUACCGGAUAAUACUUUUCAUUGCAUAGUGGAAAGUUGAAAGACGGUUUUGCUGUCACUUACAGAUGGGCCCGCGGCGCAUUAGCUAGUUGGUAGGGUAACGGCCUACCAAGGCGACGAUGCGUAGCCGACCUGAGAGGGUGAUCGGCCACACUGGGACUGAGACACGGCCCAGACUCCUACGGGAGGCAGCAGUAGGGAAUCUUCCGCAAUGGACGAAAGUCUGACGGAGCAACGCCGCGUGAGUGAUGAAGGUCUUCGGAUCGUAAAACUCUGUUGUCAGGGAAGAACAAGUAUGAGAGUAACUGCUCGUACCUUGACGGUACCUGACCAGAAAGCCCCGGCUAACUACGUGCCAGCAGCCGCGGUAAUACGUAGGGGGCAAGCGUUGUCCGGAAUUAUUGGGCGUAAAGCGCGCGCAGGCGGUCUUUUAAGUCUGAUGUGAAAGCCCACGGCUUAACCGUGGAGGGUCAUUGGAAACUGGAGGACUUGAGUGCAGAAGAGGAGAGUGGAAUUCCACGUGUAGCGGUGAAAUGCGUAGAGAUGUGGAGGAACACCAGUGGCGAAGGCGACUCUCUGGUCUGUAACUGACGCUGAGGCGCGAAAGCGUGGGUAGCGAACAGGAUUAGAUACCCUGGUAGUCCACGCC